rnacentral:rRNA from 1 species
AGUCUGGCCUGCCCAAUGAUUUUUGAAUGGCCGCAGUAUUUUGACUGUGCAAAGGUAGCAUAAUCAUUAGUUUUUUAAUUGAAAGCUGGAAUGAAAGGUUUGAUGAGAAAAUAACUGUCUCUAUGUAAAUGUUUUAGAACUUCAAUUUUAAGUGAAAAAGCUUAAAUUUUUUAUAAAGACGAGAAGACCCUAUAGAGUUUUAUAUUUGUAUAGAUUUAAUGGUUGUUGAAUUUAUUCUUUUAUUUUUAUUUAAGUAUUUUGUUGGGGCGAUGGGGAAAUUUAAUAAACUUUCUUUUGUUUUUUACAUUGAUUUAUGAUUAUUUGAUCCUGAAUUUUGGAUUACAAGAUUAAAUUACCUUAGGGAUAACAGCGUAAUUUUUUUUGGAGAGUUCUUAUCGAUAAAAAAGUUUGCGACCUCGAUGUUGGAUUAAAAUUAAAUUUUGGUGUAGGAGCUAAAAUUUUAGGUCUGUUCGACCUUUGAAAUUUU